ACGGUUGUAGCUCAGUUGGUAGAGCAGCGCACUGAUAUUGCGAAGAUCGUUGGUUCGAUUCCAACCAACCGUA
rnacentral:tRNA from 1 species